GGGGAAUAUUGGACAAUGGGGGGAACCCUGAUCCAGCCAUGCCGCGUGUGUGAAGAAGGCCUUAUGGUUGUAAAGCACUUUAAGCGAGGAGGAGGAGCUCUAGGCUAAUAUCCUAGAUGCUUGGACGUUACUCGCAGAAUAAGCACCGGCUAACUCUGUGCCAGCAGCCGCGGUAAUACAGAGGGUGCGAGCGUUAAUCGGAUUUACUGGGCGUAAAGCGUACGUAGGCGGCUUAUUAAGUCGGAUGUGAAAUCCCUGAGCUUAACUUAGGAAUUGCAUUCGAUACUGGUGAGCUAGAGUAUGGGAGAGGAUGGUAGAAUUCCAGGUGUAGCGGUGAAAUGCGUAGAGAUCUGGAGGAAUACCGAUGGCGAAGGCAGCCAUCUGGCCUAAUACUGACGCUGAGGUACGAAAGCAUGGGGAGCAAAC
rnacentral:rRNA from 1 species